rnacentral:tRNA from 1 species
GGAUCCAUGGUGCAGCGGUGAACACGUCUGCUUUACAUGCGGAAGGUCCCGGGUUCGCGCCCCAGUGGAGCCA